AAUGUGAAACAUAAAAUAUAUAUAUAUAUAUUAAUAUAUUCCUAAAUUUUUACAGAUAGAAAACUUUUGUUACAGUUCUGCCCGGGAAAGUCAUGUUUCCCUCAAGAAGCUGCCGGUAUUUCAUUAAUGUUUUAAAAUUCUAGAUUUCACGUGUAUCAGUUUUAUUUCGAUUCCUGGGGUGCUUACCAUUUAGUAAAAGAAUCCGGAAAUUUCGGUUGAGAGUCAAAUGGAACAGUAAUUUUCCGGAAAAUCCGUUCGGAAAUUGUAGAUUACCUCCAGAGGUAGUCCUCUUUUUCCGUUCGAAACGGAACGGCGAAAAUUCCCUUUCCAGUUGCUAAAUUUUCCAGUUUCCAGUCUCUCAGCAGCCGAAAACAAUUACGGGAAAUCCAAUUGCAAAUGGUAAGCGCCACCUCGUUCGGUUGGUUUGCUGAUUUUGGAAAAACCCUUACCAUUAUUAAACGGUCAUCCCAACUGGUUUGUUCUGAUCUGACAAGGGGUAAGCACCCCUGGUAUAUGUAUUCUUUUUCCGACCGUGGUUUUCUAGUUUCCAAAUAUGGCCAGUCAGAGCGUUAUCACAUGAGCUCCAUAGGAGGCAAUGUGUCAAUAAACAACAUGGCGGACGUUUCUAUGCAGAACAUGUGUGAUAAAUCAGUGGCGAUAUCUCAUUGAAAUACCACGCAAAGCUCGCGCAAAACUACGAGAGGUGACAGCAAAAGCGACCGUGUAGCGUUACUAACCGACUGAUGCUCUCAACUCCUCAGUAGAAUGUUUCGAAACGAAAGUUUAAGACAUGUGAAUCGGCUAAUUCUUUAGAGGCCCGCUCGCUUGUUCUCGACAACGUAUUAUAAGGUUGGUUUAUCAGCAGAAAUUCCACAACGUAUUCCAAAGUGAUACUUGUACUGGCCUGCCUUAUUUCACUGCUCGGACAGCUUUCAAGCCGUGUGAUAUCAGUUGAUAUCAGUCCCGAGGUAAAUGGAAUGAUAUAUAGGCACCGUCGCGAAUUAUGACCGAUAAGGUAAGCAACUGUCAAUCAAACUACAUGCUUGUGUUUGUGUGUGGCAAGACACCUUAAAAACCGGAAAGAUUUGUUAUUAUUACAGCAAACAAUAACAUGGAAUAUUCAAGUGCAAUUUUGUCCUAAAUGCCAACAAUGCUAUCAACUGGUGUUAGGCCCUAUAGAUAUUUUAAUUUGUAGUAUCGAUAUUUUAGGUUUUCCUUUACUGCUCUAAUCUCGUGUUAAAUGAAAUUUGAAAUUCAUGGAUUGAGCUUCACGAAGAUAUCUCGCCGUAGCCGUGUAUUUUGGGAACUCUCAAAUAGUUUAAAUUCGUGGAAAUAUGACUUCUGUAAGGAUUUUGGAAAUGAUAAUUGUUGUAAUAUUAACUUGUGGGUACCCCUCUGUGGAGUCCCUUACGUUUUCGUGGGCCGCCCCACAUCUCGCGAACAUGUGAGUUGGCUUAUGUCGGACAUUGUGUUGACAGUGUUUAACGUUGCGUUGAGUAUUUGAGCGUUAUCUAAAGCUAUCUUACAACAAUAAUUUAUAAUGAUAAUAAUCCUGAAAAGUCCCAUUUACACUGUCACUUCUCAUUUGAACAAUAGUUUUAAGUGGCUGAUCACGGACGAGGUUGAUCACUGAAGAGGUAACAAAUCAGUCAGGGAUUGUUAAGACUUCUGUUGAGUGAAUUGCGUCAUUGCGGUGUGUUUUUGGGUAAAGCACUUUACCCCAAGGGUCUCCAUGUGGUUGCUGAAACAUCAAUCAUUAGUUUAAUUUUUGGCGAUUUCUUCGCUGUCAGGUAAAAGUUCAGCACAUUUUUCAUCUUUCAGUAAAUUUUCAACUUUCAUAUCUCGGCUAUUAGACAAAAAACGCGAUUUCUCAGCUGCCAGACCAAUUCUGAACCAUCAGUCAAAUCCCACCCUCUACUCUGACAGCGCGGUUUUGUAUUCCACUGCCGUGGUACUAGGGAAUUAUUGAGGAAGCCUUGAUGCAGUACUUGACUACAAAGAAAACACCAGACGUCUCAUUUUUUUUUUUUUUGUUUUACAAGAUGCAAGUCUUUGACAAAAUUUUGGGUUGGCUUUGAUAGACAACGUCCCACCCAAAGAGAGUAACGGAAUAUUUCUGGUCGCUUCAUGCAAGUAAAACCGGAGACAUGUAAAGAGAGACAGAGCUCACAGGUUAAAGGUUUUUAGCUGUUACCAAACUCCACAGUCUAUCAGGUCUGAUAAAUGCUAUAAUCUUCUGUUGUCUGCUGAAGUUUCCUUAACCAGUUAAGAUAAUACAUGACAAUAAAAGAAAACAGUAUGCAAUUCUAGAAGGUUUAUUUUGCUUUGGUUUUAAGGGAUGCAGAGUUCACUUGUGACCGAUUUAAAUUUAAGAGAUCUUAAUGGAAAAGGCAACCAGAACUAAUUGACCUUGUUUUCAUUGUUGACAAACGUUUCAUUUGGAUGAUAAAAAUAAACGGCAGCCAUGUUAAUCACAAAUCUCUUUUUUUGUCGCUGAAAGUUUAUUCCCAUUUAUUUCUUUUGUAAUUAAAAAAGAAAUGUGUUUCAAGAGUGAAGAGGAGACGCACAACCUGAAUAGGUACAAAAGAGUCAGCCAAAGCCAGGCAAUCCUGGCUGUAUUAUUCUACCAGUCUGGUGGAAGUCGGGGAACAAUUGGUUGGAAAUUUCACACCGUUUUGUAAAGCUAUUUUUAACUGGACUUAAAAGAAGUGAAAGAUCAAAAUUAUUUAGACCUCAUCGCCGGUGGUCCCAAUUCACUACAACGUAACUAUCAGGGACAAUUAUAACACUUUAGAACCUAGACCAGUUUAUGUAGAUUAUCUGUCUGAUCUAUUGUGAAUGAGAUAUGCAGCGUGGGCGGGGAAAUAUACGUUUAUAGUUUUUAUAAGAAUUUUGUUAUAAUAAAAAUAUUGAGAAUGAAAAGGGCAAGCAUUUUAAGCACAAUAGAGAAAAAAGACUCGGUUUAAGCGUUGAAAGGCAACUUAAAGCGGAAGGUUUUCACAACUUGAUUUUUUUGAGGGUAUGAGGGUCUGAAUGGGGAGGGGGGUGAUGCAAAUGUCGGUUGUCAGUUAAAAUUUUGUUCAUUUGUCAGUUAUCAGUGGAGUGGCUGUUAAUCAUAGUUGUAGCUGUGGUGUGGAGGUCAUUCAGCGGUUAAGAAAUUCCUCCUUCUCUUAAAUCAUCCAUUAUAUAGUCAUUCAAGAGUCUUAAAGCUUACCUUUAUUUGUGUACGAUUCCUGUAUUGUCAACUCGGUCGCGUUUGACGAUAAACGACUUUUGUGUCCUGAUGAAUGGAAGAAAACCUCCGAGCCUAGAGAUGGGCAUGGCUUGUUUGAACGUGAUAAUAAAUCUUACACCCACCGAGUUAUGUAGCUCAGUGACGGCAAAUAGCAAGAUUUAGGGUCACGACAGACAUUUUUUGUUUCUUCGAUUCAAAGAAUGAAUAAGAUCAUAUCCCAAAGAUCUUUACUUAUAAUUUACUCUCUAGAAGUCAACACGUCAUGCCCAACGAAGUACAAAGCAAGUAUAACCUUUCCCAUGAGACUGCAGCCUCACAUAUCAUAUUGAACGCACUCCCUAAUCUAUGAUUUCUUCUGGUCAUUAAUUGUGUGUUUGAAUGUUUAAUUAAAUGAACGCGACGGAAUUCAUUUUCAAAAAGAAGGAGAGGGAUAGAUAUCUAAAGCCUAGGUCAAACGGCGCGUGAUAGUCGAUGAUAGUUGAAUGAUUUCCCCCUAACUUUCACCGGCCAUCAUCAGCUAUCAUGCGUAGUACUAGUUUGACCAGGGCUUAAAACUCUUCAAAAAGUAAACAUUGUUUGAAAAAUUACCUAUUGUGUAUAUUUGGCUCAUACGGGUUCACGUGGACUCCAUAUAAACAAAUAAAAUACGAAACGUUCUUACAGUAAAGCUUGCAAAGGGUGUUGUCGUUAAAAUUUGUGACGUUGUUGUUAGCUGAUUGGUCUAAAUAAUCGUAUUUUCUAUAUUCAUCAUUGCUGAUCUGAGGUGGUUGUUUGUCAUUUUGAGAUGUUUGCCGUCCGAGUAAGAUGAAUGCAGUUCCCUUCUGACAUGAAAAAGCAAAUUCUUACUUUGAAGAAGAAAUGGCAACCACGUCUGGAGAAGAGAAGUCGGUUGACACCCAUUUCUGUCAGUGAGAGUAAACAACCGAAGACAGGAAAGUCGGGAAAACACAAGAAGAUCAAAAGGAUGCAAGCAGGGAUGAUGAACACAAAGUUACGAAUAUCAUUUAAGAGUUUGGUUAAAUUGAAAUAAUUCCUAUAAGAAAUGGUUGUGCCGUAAAUGACGAGCAGCUAGAAAGUUAUUUACA